rnacentral:lncRNA from 1 species
GGUGUGAUGUAUGCAACCUACCCUAAGGUAUGUAUAAGUGGUUGAUUCCAUACCUCAAGCAUGUUGGUUAUAGGUCACAUAGAGAUAAUUUUAUUGUUUCUUCAAUGCUCCCCUGCAAUUGGUCCAUCCAUCAUCCGAAUCAAUUUCUGAUGGUUUCUAUAAAAAAUUCAUACAAAAUCACAAAUGAAAUGACACAUCAUAGAUGGGACAUUCCUGUUCAGUCUUAGGUUCUACACAACGAACACAUGAAACACAACCAUCUUGAUCUUGGCUUUGCAACUAAGAACUCGCUAUCAUGUUAGGUAAAGGGGCUAUUAGUUUCAGCUUGAUCAAGGAAAACCCAGCUCAACGCUACUGUAAAUUAGAAGUAAUAACAAGAAACAAACGAACAAGUUAAAAUAGGAGGGUUGUUAUGUCAAAAAGUAAUACAAGAGAAUAACAACGUAACCAAAUUUAACGUGAAAAACCUCUUCAAAGCAAAAAGUAAAAACCAUAGAACAUCCAAUUCAUUAAAAUCUCCAUUUUCUCGAAAGAGAGUUAUACAAGUCCUCUAAAAUGGUCAUAACACUAGCGACAAAUAAGGAAAAAUGAUAUACAACAAACAAGCGAAGAAUGAAACAGAAAUACUCACCCAACACGAGCUACAGUUUGUUGCUCAAUAUAUGUAGCUAAAAAUCUCGAAGCACGAUCUCCGUUGUUUAGAUUGGAGAACAAGAUGUUACCAGGGCUGG